rnacentral:lncRNA from 1 species
UAGAAUUAGGGGGUUUUUGUGACCCCUUCAGAACAUCCCCAUUAGAUGUCUAAGGGAACUACUCCUGCCUAGGAGGCCCCUGAUUUUAACAUAGGAGUCACGUUGAGCUUGGCAUACACUUCCUUUGGCAACUCUGCAGGCCUUAAAAUUAAGUUGUGUGUCUGGUUUUUAAUAAUCUGCCUUGUGAUUGUAAAAGACGAGGGACUCUGUAAACUGUCAUGGAGGGAUUCUGGAUUUCACUGGCAACUUUGAGAUAAUAGUUGGCUGACAUGAAUCUGCCACUUGCUUUUUUCAAGGCUUUUAAGACUCUAUGGCACAAAGAGGCACUACAGAAAAUCCCAGAAUUUAUUCUGACUGAAGCAAUAUGCAACUGGCAAAACUGGCAGCUGAAAGGAUCCUGAAUAAGAAGGAUUUUAAAUGCCGUUUUGGCACAGGAUGUCAGAGCACAAGCAUGGUGAAGAGGAAUCUGUGUCAGGAAGAAGGUGGAAGAGAUAUGACAUUGGUCAAACAGAGAAUUGAUAAAAUAAGAAAACAAGUUGAAAAACUAAAACAAAACCAGGUGCCAAAUUUCUCAAAGCCAGAGAAUGGAUUAAAAAUAUGGAAUGGAAAUAAACAAGUAUGAAGCCUGAUGAUUAAACUGGAUGUAUCAGUAAUGAAAUCAUGGAAUCUAAAAAAAAUCAAUAUAAAUGUAUGUAUGCAUAUAUGGAGAGAGAGAGACAGAGAAACAGACAGAGGGAGAGGCCAAGCAACUGGUACAAGUGAUACCCUAAUCGCAAUGAGGACACUGAACCCCCAGAUCUUGGUUCUCAAUAACAUGCUCCAUUGAAAAGAAUGAGGCCUGAUUCUGGAGCUGGUGCAGAAAAAUUACAAGAUGAUCCUGGAAUAUAUAUUGUUAAAAAUUAAGACAAUGUUGAAAGGAUAAUAAGGUCAUCCUGAAAGAUUAAAUUGUUGUCAGUUUGAGAAUUUAAAUAAUUAAUGGCAAAAUGGAUUACUACUCAUUGAAUCAAAGAGAAAAACAUGAGCCCAUAUUGUUAUAAAUACGUAAAUGCAUAUAUUGAAAGCUUAAUUAGAAACAUAGUUUCAAAAUAAACUCCCCUAAAAUACCUAAGAAUGGUAAAUUUGUAGAGUGUUUCUUUCUUUAUAGUAGAGGAGCCAAGCAUGCUUUACCUUAAUCAAGUGAUCAGUGUGAAUAUCAUCAGGACAAAUCAAAAACAUGCAUCACCUGAGAGCUUGUAAAGAGAGCACAGCAUCUCUUUGUGAUAUUUUCACUAAACGUGCACACCUUGAGUCUAACCGUGAGAAAGGAGCAGACAAAUACAAAUUGAGGGAUAUACUAUAAAGUAACAGACUUAUAAUCAUCAAAGUGUGAAGGUCACAUAUGUCCAAACAAAAGGUAGAAAAUGUUCUGUACUGGAAGAGCAUAAACAGAUAUGUCAACUGUAUGGAAUGUUUCACUGUAAAGUGAAUCCUGUUGCUAGGAAGGACGUUAUUGAGAUAGCCAGUGAAACUUAAAUAGGGUCUAGGGAGUCGAUGGUAGUAAUGUAUUAAUGUUGGUUUUCUUUUUUCUUUCUUUCUUCUUCUUUUUUUUUUUUUUUUGGAGACAGAGUCUCACUCUCUCCCAGGCUGGAGUGCAAUGUCGCCUAGGCUGGUACGAUCUUGGCUCAUUGCAACCUCUGCCUUCCAGGUUCAAAUGAUUCUCCUGCCUCUGAGUAGCUGGGAUUAUAUGUGUAAGCCAUCACACCUGGGUAAUUUCUGUAUUUUUAGUAGAGAUGAAGUGUCACCAUGUUAACCAGUCUGGUCUCAAACUCUGGACCUUAGGUGAUCCACCUGCCUUGGCCUCACAAAACGCUGGGAUUACAGGCAUGAGCCACUAUGCCUGGCCUUAAUGUUGGUUUUCUGAUAUUACUGGUUGUAUUGUGGUCAUGCAGCAUAGGAAUUUUAUUUGUGGAAAAUACAAACUAAAGUUGGGUAAUGGGUCUUUAUGGUGGCAACUCACACUUAAAUGUUUCCAGGGGAAAUGUCUUUGUAUUAUAUUUACCUUUUCCCUAAAUUAGUGGUUGAUUCAAUCUUUUUAAAUCAUCAAAGUAUAUAAAAGCCAAAGAUAAUAAAAAAGAUUCAUGAAUUUGGCAGAAAUUCUAUGGUAUAAUUUCUUUACAGGGGUUUCUUUCAAAAGUGAUGCAGAGCCAAAUAACUUUAAUUUGUCUAAGGGGACAGGAUGGUGGGCCGUUCUUCUCAUAUUGUUUGAUACAAGGGAGUUUGUAAUGAGGAUGGAGGAGCUUGUACUCAUCUGUAA